rnacentral:rRNA from 1 species
GACGAACGCUGGCGGCGUGCUUAACACAUGCAAGUCGAACGGAAAGGCCCUGCUUUUGUGGGGUGCUCGAGUGGCGAACGGGUGAGUAACACGUGAGUAACCUGCCCUUGACUUGGGGAUAACUUCAGGAAACUGGGGCUAAUACCGGAUAGGAGCUCCUGCUGCAUGGUGGGGGUUGGAAAGUUUCGGCGGUUGGGGAUGGACUCGCGGCUUAUCAGCUUGUUGGUGGGGUAGUGGCUUACCAAGGCUUUGACGGGUAGUCGGCCUGAGAGGGUGACCGGCAACAUUGGGACUGAGAUACGGCCCAGACUCCUACGGGAGGCAGCAGUGGGGAAUAUUGCACAAUGGGCGGAAGCCUGAUGCAGCAACGCCGCGUGCGGGAUGACGGCCUUCGGGUUGUAAACCGCUUUCGCCUGUGACGAAGCGUGAGUGACGGUAAUGGGUAAAGAAGCACCGGCUAACUACGUG